GGGGCGCCGGGCACCCGCUCCGACCGCUUGCUUCCAGCCGUGCCUCCGCUCUGACUAGACAAACCUCCCUGGCUGAAACAGUUUAGGCUGAGGGAAGAUGUGUUUCUGCUGCACGUGGAGAAACGGAAAUCAGGUCAGCUCGUCUGUCAGCCACAACAGAGGACAGCAGUGCCCUUUGCUACCUGCUACUUGCAUUUUUCAAGAAGCCCUACUACACAAAGAAACAUCUAUUUUGUGCCGGGGAACCCGAACUGCACAGGAGUAGUCAAAGCACAAGCCCACCAUGAAUGGAGACAUGCCAGAUAAGUGCUUUCUAUUUUGCUCUCUCUCUCUAUUUGCUAAAAAAACAUUCCAAGCCAAAUCUUGGCCUCAGAAAUGUUCCUGCUGCAAAAACACUGACCAGCAUGCCUAGGGUCUUCUGGAGGCAUCUAGCAGUCCCCAGGCACUCUGCGCAGGGAUCAAUAGCUCAGCCCACUCUCAGAAACAAUGCUACACGCUUUCAGCAGCUCCUCCCUUGAAAGAAGGCUGUUUUGGACUCAUAAUGCUCCUGCUCAGCUGGUUUGUGCCUACAGCUGGCUCCCAGCCCAUGCGCUGUCUCUGUUGUCUCAGGUCUAGCAAGGGGACAUUGCUAGACCUGACUUUCCCAGGCUUAUGUCCCCUGAGCAGCCCUCUCACAUUAAUGCCCCUUUUGAAACAUCCAUUCGGGUGUGCUCCAGAUGACAUAGUCUCUUUGAAUCACUUUUCUUCCUCUCCCCUGCUCUUAACAAGCCCUGCGUAGACUUGUGGUCCUGUGUAGACCACUAAUGUCCACAUAGACCAGGAUGCCCACAGAUCAUCUGAUGGCUGUGGACCUUGCUGCAGACAUCAGAUGACCCCAGUGGCAGGACAACCUCCGGCUGAAGGAGGGCACUUUGGUGGGGAGCUGCACUCAAUGGCGCUACACAGUGGCAAUGCGUGACAUGAGGCUUCCAUGGAGCACCCCAUGGCCAUGGCCAUGGCCAUGGUCAUCUGUGGUUGCUCCAGCCUUUCACCACUCUGCUGCAAACCAUCUUGGCAUAGACAAAACUGACUGUCAGGACUGCUGUGUUGAAUAUGGGGCCUGUCACCCUACGAGUACGUCUGCUCAUGCUUACAAUGUAAAAGAUUUGCAAAACCUCAGGGAUUUUUUGUUUUUGUUUUUAUUUUUUCAAGGCUUUGCACAUACAAGGGCUUCCCAUUGUCUGCCUCCUGUGCUUACCCCCUUGCUCUGCCAAGUUUCAGAGUUUGGAAACCAGAUGUGAUGGUUCUCUGUUUUGCUCCAGGACGUGGUGGCCUGGUUGGCAAGUUGUCUGGCAGGAAUGGAUUUGGCCUGGAACAGCAUGAGAAGGUAUCAGAGUGGUUCAAGUCCCCGAAGAGAACCAGGGCCUGUGAUCGUGAGGCUACUUUCAGCUGUUUGUAAAAGGCCUCAUCGACUUCUUCCUCCUGAUCGUGUGGCCUGUAGCAAACACCCACAACAGUGGCCCUGGGCUCCCGUCCUGGCCCACUGGCAGCCCGUGGUAGCUGCAUGGAUGCAGCUGGCAUCACAUGGUGGCACCAGCACCUGUGAACGUGCCGUCAGCUGAGACCUAGGGUCUCCCGGGGCUGGAAACCAUUUUGGAGCACCCGUGGAGGAACCCUAGGACUGUGCACGUGUGGCCGUAUUUCACGCGGUGCUGCAGAGGGCCUGCAAACCCCCACCGUCUAAAGCCACCAACCAGUGCCAAAACCAUGCAUUUCCCCCUGCUCCUGCUGGUGACCUGGGUCCCCCCUUCGGACAUGAAUGGGAUGUGGGGAUGAGCCACAGUCUCCCGGAUGCCCAGCACAGGAGUGACCCGGACGCCGGCAGGGUGCUUGUGGGCUUUGCCAGGGGCUCCGUGCACUGUGCAAAACACUUCCUCAGCUGCUCCGGCUGCCGGAGCAGCAUCACCGUCACCGCGGUGCAGGGCGGCAUUGCUCACCCAGCAUCCUGGUUUCGAGCAGAACCUGGCAUAUGCAGCAGCGUCACCAUCCAUCGCUAAAGCUUAAAAUUUGUCAGAGCUCCAGUUGCCAUAACGGUUUCAACCUCCUCUCUCUCAAACUUAGCGUCCGGCAGUCGUGGAGGGGAAGACGGUAGCUGGAGCGGUAAUUCAAUAGGGACGUUGGCGCUAGACCAGGAAGGCUGGACGCGAAGAGGGAGCAGGCGGAGGGGUUCCUGGGACUGGGCGUUAUCUGAGCCCCUGCGGGAACAACACGUCUUUGCCAUGAAGCAAGUUAGGAGGAGUGAAAGAAGGGACCAAGCUCUUACGUCAGGGCUUUGCUAUGCGUUGCUGCUCCCAGCGCCCCAAAACAUGGGCUUACGGCUGCGACCACACGACAUCCAUCCCAAGGGCUUUCCGGCUCCGGGCUCCCCAUGAGCCGACUCCUCGGUCCCUUCCAGGCCAGGGAAAAUGUUUCAGUUCAAACAUGCUCCCCAGUGAGCAGCGAUUCGGUGCAAAACAGCAGCCAUGCUUUUACCGAGGCGAGAGCAGAGCGAGGGGUGCAGAGCAACGCUGUGGUGGGUUAUCCCACGUAUGGUGACGAGCCGCUGGUGGAGGCACUCCUGGCAUGACACGAUUGUACAUAGGAGCUAAUGAUUUGUACAGACUCCUGCUCGUGCUAUGCUUUUCCUUUCGAAGAAGUGAAGCUGGCCAGCGAGGCUCCUUGCACGCGGUGCCCACGUUCAUUUGGUGUGCGCCGAUCAUGGUGUCUCCAGCUUGACCUCUCUGAGCCAUGCUGGCUGCCUUGCCCUCUCCGCCCGAGCCACUUGUUACACAUCGUCUUCCUGCUCCAGCCUGGAAAACCCUCCUGGGGCCGCGGUGCAAACGUGGGCUUUGCACACACUCUUAUCCAGCAGCUAAACUGCUGCUUCUAUGGAUUUGCAAAACAACCUGUAAGUAAAGGCUUAUGUUUUUCAUGGUAUUUUUGAACAAAACUAUCAUUUAUGGUGAAUUAAAAUUAACUGAGGCUAAAAGCAUCCUCUGCAAUUCCCCUCGUGGCAUGCAACGCUGGGACUGUAGUGCAUCUUUCCCACGCAUUGCGCACUAGCAACAGAUGCAAGUUUGAGCUCUUGGGCUGCAAACAGGCAGGAUUUAGGGGUAUAUUUGAAUUAUCUUGUAAUAUGCCAAUAUUCAGGAUAAUGACUUGUUCCCGUACCCUAUACCGAGAUGCAGCUCCCCAGCAGAACUGAAGCACCCAGGCCCUCCAUCCCCACUGCAGCCUCCAGGAGGCAAGGCAGCACCCUGCACCUCCUGCCAGCACCCUUCCCUCGGCCUCAGCCGGAGCCCUCUCCACGCGUACGGCCCCUCGCUGCCCACGGCCGACACGGGUGCGGGCACGUGCCGGCAGGGAGGCGAUGGCAGGAGCGAGGGAGCAUCUUGCAGAGAGGAGGAAACAUGCCGCUGGGAGUGGGGCGAAUCGGCCGUGGGGCUCGGGUGCUGUUGGCGCAGUUGCCCCGCUCAGGCGGCGAUGCGGAGGCCACAGUCUCGCACAGCUCUGGUUUGGCAAAGCCUUUCGCCUGAAC